AAGUCGUAACAAGGUUUCCGUAGGUGAACCUGCGGAAGGAUCAUUAACACGUAUCCAACGUUAAAACCCCCCCCGUGAACUUUCAAUCCUGCUCUUGUAACCCGCGUAGUUCGCAAUCUCUGGUAAAUCAUAGCCCGGAAAGUUGUUUUGAUUCAGUGUCACUGAUUGUGCAAGGAUAGCGCUUCACGAUUCCUGUAGACCGUACACUCGGGCAGGAGCUAUGCCAAAGGGUCCCCAUGCCCCCUAAUAACCCCACAGUUUAAUGUAAAGCUCAAUGUAAUACAUUGGGUAAAAAAACCGAACAACUGUUAACAAUGGAUAUCUUGGUUCUC
rnacentral:misc_RNA from 1 species